rnacentral:lncRNA from 1 species
AAAGGAGGGACAACUCUCAAUUCUAGCUCUAGUUAUCCUUCCAGGGGAGUGACAGCUUUCAAGUAAGACUGCCAGCAAACACUACCUUCCUUCACAGCAAUGCCAUAAAAUGAAUGAGAGCCACAUACACACCUGGCUAUGAAUCAUCUAUCUGCAGCAUUUCCUACUGUUCUGGAAACACAAUUUUCUGCACCUUGAAAGGCAGAAAGCAUGAAAGAAAAGGAUCAGUUUAAACUUAAAAAUACGAGUCAAUGUGUGACCUUCCAAAGCCUCUCUCCUCACUGAUCUCACGCUAUGCUGGCACAGCGGGAGCUGAGCUCACCUCUCCACACAACUUCUGAUCCAGAAUCCUUCGUCACCGUGCAUAAGCUCCAAGUGGGAUGAAAGAUAGACCAAUAGAGAAAUGAGGGCACUGUACUGGUACAAGAAAUGUCUCUGGAGUCAUAAAUACA